UACGUAGGGGGCAAGCGUUAUCCGGAUUUACUGGGUGUAAAGGGAGCGUAGACGGUUUUUUAAGUCUGAUGUGAAAGCUGGGGGCUCAACCCCCAAACUGCAUUGGAAACUGGGGAACUAGAGUGUCGGUGAGGUAAGUGGAAUUCCUAGUGUAGCGGUGAAAUGCGUAGAUAUUAGGAGGAACACCGGUGGCGAAGGCGGCUUACAGGACGAUGACUGACGUUGAGGCUCGAAAGCGUGGGGAGCAAAC
rnacentral:rRNA from 1 species